GUGCCCAGUCACUGCUGACUCCAUACAUUAAAAGCACAACUACACAGAAAACUUUUUCAUUUCUGAAAAUAUUAAGAAAAGCUCAUAUGCUAGAAAUUUCAUGUAAAUCACAACUGUAUAAUAUAAAGUUUAAAAGUGUUAGCUUUGUGCGUUGUGAAAUGUAUUACAAUUCAGAAAUGUGAGGGCAAAAAACACUUCCUCAAUUUGUUAACACAGAGCAACACAAAAGACCAGAAAUACACCACCCUGCAGUCAGUGGAAAAUUUCAGACCAGUCAACAGCCUGUUUUAGAAGCGAAAAUGAUUUUCUUCUACAUGAUCAUUGCAACUCUGGCAACAUCUCUGGCAAAAGGGGCUUCGGACUGCAAUAUAUCUGAUACUAUUGCAGAUCAGCAGUGCUUUGGAGCACUUGGCGAGCCACUGAUUUUCCACCUACCCCCUCAAAGAAAUAAGACAAGUCUGAAAAAGAAUAGAAAUAUGAUUUUCAUGGUAACUGAUAACACAAAGGUGCUUAUCAAUAAAUACAGGAAUGACUUUGCAUUCUUUCCAAAUGGAACAUUUAGGCUUUACAACACAACAAAGAGAGACUCUGGAGAUUACAAGCUGGAAACAUACAGCUCUACUGAUGGAAUACUAUUGCACAUAAUCAACAUCUCCCUAGAAAUACAAGGUAAGGCCAAAAACAUUAAACGUUAUAUUUUUUUGUUAUUUUU
rnacentral:lncRNA from 1 species